GUCGUUGUAGUAUAGUGGAGAGUAUCCCCGCUUGUAACGUGGGAGACUCGGGUUCGAUCCCCGGCAACGGUG
rnacentral:tRNA from 1 species